rnacentral:misc_RNA from 1 species
GGAUUUUUUUUUUAAAAAAAAAAGAUUCGCUCUCUACUUUCUUUUUCUUCCUGUGUCUUCUUUCGUUCUCUUCUCUCUCUUUUUUCCUAUUUUUUCCCCACUCUAUAUAUAACGCGUUUAUUUUGUUGUGUAUGUUC